rnacentral:sRNA from 1 species
GCAAGGCACGGUGGCGCAUGCCUGUAAUCCCAGCAACUCGGGAGGCUGAGACAGGAGGAUCAUGAGUUCAAAGCCAAUCUCAGCAAUGGCGACGCAUUUAGCAACUCAGAGAGACCCAGUUUCUA